GGGCAAUGACGACCAACUGUGAUAGGUCUCGUUCGUCGUAAUGGCAUGUUACAAUGCCUUGCCGACCAUCCUCUUUUAUCACCACCCAUAAACUGAGCCC